rnacentral:lncRNA from 1 species
UUUAAACAAAAAAAAAAUCCCCUUUUCUCUUUUCUUUUUCUUCUUUUCUUCUUUCCUUCUUUUCUUUCUUUCUUUCUUUCUCUUCUUUCUGUCUUCUUCCCCGCUGCCCCUAUUUCCUUUCUUCUCCUUUUUUCUUCUUUCGGACGCCGCCCUUUUCUCUUGUUUCUUCGACCAUUGCGCGCCGCCUCCACCAGACGCCGCCUCCACCAGACGACGCCUCCACCUGCAGCCCACAGUAGCACGGGCCGCCGACACCAUCUCCAGCCGCGAUCCGCAACCCCCAACCCGCGCGCCGCCGCCACUGCUGUCCAGCACCUCGCGCGGCCAACAACUCCAGCUUCGUCCGCCACUCCCAGCUCGGCCCUGUCCUCCCUCGUUCACCCCACCACAGCCAACACCAGCUUCCUCCACCGCUGUCCGCGUGCGACAGCAGACCAGGACGCCACCUCUUUCCUCCGCACACCUCGUACGGCCCUCUACCUCACUCACUCCCCGUCGCUGGUCGGCACCACUGCCCAGACGCCGCAACUCGCGCCACAGCACUAGGCCUGACCAACCAGCGCGCCGCACGCAGCUCCUCGUGCGCGACAGCCGUGCGACGCCGCGCCUCCCUCAGCAACAGCUCCAAGCUCCAGCAAGCGCCACCACCAGCUCACUGCUGUCCAGCACCUCGCGCGGCAGCAACUCCAGCCGACAGAGCACCGCCUCCUUGAUCACCAGUUCCGCGGCCACGCACUUCACCACCUGUCCAAUUGAGACAGGUGGAGGUAUUAUACAUUCUUUCCCUAAUUAGUUUCAAUCUCUGAAAUUUGUGGUUGAAUUUCUUGUUGGAUUUGGGGGAAAUUGCUGCUAUAUGUGGGGUUAUUCUCUGAUAAUUAUUGAAUUUUUUAACUUGUGGGGUUAAUUAUGUGGGGUUAAUUUUUUUACUUGUGGCCCUUGAAUUGACAUUGGCUGGGCAUUUUUCUGCGUCUGUUUGUUGAAUUGGAGGGCUACUGUGUCCCUUCCUUUGCUAAUUGCUGAUUGAUUGUGCCUAAUUAACCAACUUGGGUUAUUUUGAGUCGUAUUGCACGUUUGGGCUGUUUUGUUCUUAUAUUGGAUUCUAUUGGGGCUGUUGCUCUUUAUUAAUUGCAUUUGCUGUCUUGUUGGGGAUUGUUCUAGCCUAAGGGUGCUUGCAUUGCUUUCCUGUCCGUGCACCAGUGGUACUGGUGGCAGUAUUGCUUUCCAUUUCUUCAUUCUCUGUGCUGAACUGUCUCUCAAUUCUCACCAUUUAUUGCUGCAAUUGCUGGUUAAAAUUGGGGGCACCCGUGACGCUUAUAUUUGCUACUUGGUUGUUUUGGGUUGCUUGCUGGUCACCAUGGUGAAGCCUCGAUCUUCUUCUAAGACUAGGACCCCUAGGACUCCUCAGCCCCCUCCACCCCAGCAUUCCAUUCCCGCCUCUGACCCCUCGCACGACCCUUCCUCCUCUGGGAGGCGGGCUCGUCUUGGGCGACAAAGAGGCGUCCAUAUCUCUGACCCUGCACAUUUUGGGGGUCAUUUGGACUUCACCAGGGCCGCCGACAAGGGGCGCUAUGAAGCGGUUUGUGAACGACGGAUUAUUCCUUGUCGUUAUCGGGACCCCGCCAUCUUGGGCCUUCUAAAUAUUAGCGUCCCCUUGCACGAUUUGAUUGAGGCCAUCGGGUGGCGCCCCUAUUCUCGUAUAACUGACCUCCCAGCCUUUGUUGAAUUAGUUAGGGAAUUCUAUGCCACAUUUGAAUUCAACCUUCCCACUGGUUACACAGUUUCCACCCCUGAUGUCAUCCGCUUCCGUUUAAUGGGUCAGGAAUUCCACCAUUCCAUAACUGACUUCAACCUGGCCUUUGGUUUCAUUGAUCCUGCCUAUGCUGAGUCUAGGGAGUAUGCCGAGAGUGCAUGUGACUAUGUUCAGCCGUUUUUCUCCCUCUAUCGCUUUAUUUGGGAUGAGAUGUCUGUCGAUAGGGAUAACUAUGACCCUCGUCUCUCUAAGGGUUCUUAUCUUAAGGACCCGGCGUCUCGCUAUAUCCACCGUUUUUUAGCUUUCAGUUUCUCGGGUAGGCGAGAUAGCUCGGGCGUUUUGUCUAAGCCGGAGUUUUUCUUUAUAUGGUGCAUGCAUAAUAACGUUAAAGUUAACUUGGGGUGCUGGCUCGCUUCUCAGUUCAAGUCCAUUUUGCCUAAAAAGAAGCGCCCCUUGAUUCUUGGGUCUUACAUUACUCACUUGGCUAUUAAUUUGCAUGUCCUUGAUAUUUCUAACCACAACUUGCAUAUAGCCUGUCAAAUGGAGCCUUUGGAUAUUCCGAGCUUGGAGAAAAUGGGCUUAGUUCGAGAGGGCGACAAUGGUUGGGAGGUUGUUCCCCCGGGACCGCUACACCCUCCCCCUCGUUCAUCCUUUGCCAGUGCCUCCACGGCAGGCGGUGAUCCCGGUCCAUCUUCCUCCGUUCCCUCCCAUUCCGCCCAUACGGAUGAGGAAUGGAACCAGCUCCGCAACACAGUUGAGCGGCUUGAGAUUCGGCAGAAACACAUGGACGUUAACAUUCACAAUAUGGCGCAGAAUCUAGCGGCUUUUAUGCAGCAAGCCGGGUUCCCUCCUCAAUUUUCGCCUAACCCACCCUUGUCUUGACGCCUUCAGGGAAGUACCGUUGCCCCUCCCCUUUUUCUGCUAUUAUCUUUUCACAUUGAGGGCAAUGCGUCAUUUAGGUGUGGGGGCGUCAGUUUGGGUGCUAGUUCUCGUUUCUUUAUUAUUUUUUAUCUUAUUUUCUGUUUAGGUGUUGCUCCUCUAUCCCUUUUGAGUGUCUUUCCCUUGCUUCUAUCUUGGUGAAUAUUUUUGGCAGCGCACUUUUUCUUGUUAGUUGUGGUUUGUACUAUGAGUUGAGUUACAGUGGCAAGUAAAAGCAUGCCUUCUUGGUGAAUACUUUGAGUUUAACGGCGUGGUGCAAUUUCUGGCUAACUCGUUUAGGCAAUAUAAAUAUUUUGCUGGCAUUGUUGUGUAGUUUGGUCUCCUGUUUACCUUAGUUCUCCAUAUUUGGGACAUGACGCAGGCUAUGAUAUGUAAUUAUUUGGUAUCUUGGUGUUUUAUGGUGAAUAACGUAUGGCUAUACUCCGCUAGUGUCGCCACCUAGUAACCGGGAGUUUUCACCACAAGUGUCGGCUCUCGCGUCAAAAAGUGACGAUAUCUAUGAGUAAAUAGUCCUGGAGCUAUGAAAGGUCGAGUAACUGGGCUCUUUCAUCUAAAAAUGUCAGAGUUCACGUCAAAAGACUUGAAUAGCUCUGGACUAAGCAAUCCAAAAAAAAAAAAAAAGACAAAAUCAGAUGUGGAGAGUAUGUGAGUUUAUGAUCAUGUUAGCCUGCCGAUCCUUGGUUCGUAUUGUUGAGAUUUUGGUUGACAGUUGACAUAAUUAUUGACUGUUGCUAGUUAGUAUUUGGAUUUCCUAAGCGAAUUAGCCAUGAAUUGGACAGGUCUAUGAACUUAGGAGCUAACCGGGAGAGACAUGUCUUGACACUAAGUCACUAGAUCUUGAUUUUGGGUAUACGCACAGUUGGCUAUGAUAAUGUGGAAGCUAGCCAUUGUUGAGCUAAAUUUUCCUCAUGCUUGAGGGCAAGCAUGAUUCAGGUGUGGGGGGAAUUGAUAGGGCACAAUUUGUUAGUGAUUUUAUUAUUAAUUUCCCCUUUUACCCCUGAUAAAUAUUGUGUUAAUUGCUGAUAUUUACUCAUAUUUGGUAUCUGGACUUAAUUUCAGGAAUAAAGCAGAAAACUACCAAAAAGGAGGGACUCUAUGGAAAAUGUGGAGACUCCUAAGAGCUUCAAUGCUUGGGCCCUUGAAUUGGUGGGGACCACAAGCUAGUGGAAAGCAUCUAGUCAAUUGGGCUCUUAAAAGAAAGCUACGGAAAGAGAUUUGGGGCAAGAAGUACUUUGAAGGCUUUGUCCACAUGUGUGGGGACCACCUAGAUAGACUUUAGUCAUCUUUCUUUUGUUGCUUAAAUAGGGAUAACGUAGAGUAGGAGGGACAUCUCUAGUUUUAGUCUUUUAGUGUAGCUUUACUUUUUCCUUCUUUUGACUGGCCUCUGACACACGCCAGGUGUUCGACAAAAUUCCCCAACGGGAAAAACAUCUUUUAUUCCUUGCUUUCUAGUAAAAAAAACGCUAUGCCUUUGCAAUCCAUUAAUUCGUGUGGUGAAUUAAUUAUGCGGCGUGGCUAAGUCUCCCAUCUAGUCAAGGGUCAAUUCGACGGCGCAGUCCCGAAAAUCUGUGAGAUCUAAUUAGUUUUCACGCGUUCCUUUAUCUAUUAAUAUUUGCAUGCUGCCUGAUUUAAUUUUCAUGGGAUUAUUUUAUUAAUUGGAUGUCAAGGGCCCGAUGUUCAAUGUGAUUUAUUAAUCUCGUGCCAUUUUAAUCAAUUAAAUCCGUAAUUGUUUGAUUGAUUAAUAUUAGUGGCAACUGGUGUGUUUACACAUUAGGGGAACGUGCAAUCUAAUUUAAAUAACCCUCGUAGCGCGUUAUUGAUUAGGGAUAGGUUUUUCUGGUUAUUAAUGCAAUUGAAAAAUUAAUUCCUACGGUCGUACCUAGGAGUACUUUUCUGGUUAGGGGUGAUUAAUGGUCGUACCUUGAUCACCUAUAAAUUAAGGAAAAAUUGGUCAUUAUAGUUCAUCGAUGGCUAUAACUAGCCUAUUAAUAAAUAAAGUGAACCUCUUUUGCAUCAAUGAUCGGAUAAAUGGACUGUGUCUGAGUAGUUGCAUCCUUGGCUAGAAUUUAUUUAUUCUUGAUUAAAUUCCUGCUAUACUUGUGAUAGUGACUUAAUCAUUUUUAAUUAAAUUGUUUAAUUAUUUUUAGUUUCAUUCCGGUGACAUCCCCCCUUAUCAAUUGGACUAAGAAAAGAGACAGAUAUCUCCAGUCCCUGAGGAGACGACCCUACUUGCCACUGUCUACUAUUUAAUAAUUUUUGUCAAUUAAUUAAUUCUGGUAUAUCGGAUUAAGCAAACUCUUCGGGAACAGGGUAAAUCAAGUAACCCAUUGCACACCUAGAGUCCCUGCUCCAGUACUUGGAAUUAAUUGCUGACUGCUCUUAGUGGUAGCUAAGUUCUAUAUUUAUUAUUAUUAUUGCACAGGCUGACGACCUGUCACUCCAAUGUAAGAAUUAAAGAACAAAAGGUGAGAAAAGGGACAAUGAAACUUCCCUGAUCAUCGAGAUGGGCACGAACAACUAUGCAUAAGGGGCAAAAGGAUGAGUGAAACCAACAUGAUGGAAACACGCCACUAAAUUCUACGUCUUCUGAGACAUGUGGUGUUCGAUAUUGGCCAACCGACUAUGCAUGUGAGAUGAGUGUAGUGUGAGCGCUCUUAGCCAUAAUGGGUGCCUUUUUCUUAGCCAUGUGGUCAAGGAAAUCAUCAACAAAUAUUGUUCAAGUUUCAAGCUUAGUGACUAAACACAGGUUCCAAAUUGACUCGAAUAUGACCAAGGAUAACUGAGAAGCCUCAUAACAAAAUCUAUCAAUAAUGAACCAAAAGACCUAUCUCACGCAAUGAGUAAAACUACUAUCCAAUUUUAGCAAAGAGCAAGGGCAAAAGUCACCCUCAAAAUUUACAAUGCAAUUUCCAAGUGAUCGG